rnacentral:rRNA from 1 species
UACGGGGGGAGCAAGCGUUGUUCGGAUUUACUGGGCGUAAAGGGCGCGUAGGCGGCCACCGCAAGUCGACUGUGAAAUCUCCGGGCUUAACCCGGAAAGGUCAGCCGAUACUGCGAGGCUAGAGUGCAGAAGGGGCAACUGGAAUUCUCGGUGUAGCGGUGAAAUGCGUAGAUAUCGAGAGGAACACCUGCGGCGAAGGCGGGUUGCUGGGCUGACACGUGACGCUGAGGCGCGAAAGCUAGGGGAGCGAACGGG